CGCUGGCGGCGUGCCUAACACAUGCAAGUCAAGGGGAAAGUUUUGCUUCGGCGGAGCGAGUAUACUGGCGGACGGGUGAGUAACGCGUAGGCAACCUGCCCUUACGGAUGGGAUAACCCAGCGAAAGUUGGACUAAUACCGUAUAAAGCGACUGUAUUACCUGGUAUAGUUGUCAAAGGUUGCUUUUCGGAGCAAUCGCGUAAGGAUGGGCCUGCGUUCCAUUAGUUAGUUGGUGAGGUAAUGGCUCACCAAGGCGACGAUGGAUAGCUGGUUUGAGAGAGUGAUCAGCCACACUGGGACUGAGAUACGGCCCAGACUCCUACGGGAGGCAGCAGUGAGGAAUAUUGCGCAAUGGAGGAAACUCUGACGCAGCAACGCCGCGUGGGGGAUGAAGUUCUAUGGAGUGUAAACCCCUGUAAGUAGGGACGAAAGUUAUAUAUUCGAAUAGGGUAUAUAUAUGACGGUACCUACAGAGUAAGCUCCGGCUAACUCCGUG
rnacentral:rRNA from 1 species